rnacentral:rRNA from 1 species
UACGAAGGGGGCUAGCGUUGCUCGGAAUUACUGGGCGUAAAGCGCACGUAGGCGGCUUUCUAAGUCGGGGGUGAAAUCCUGGAGCUCAACUCCAGAACUGCCUUCGAUACUGGAGAGCUCGAGUCCGGGAGAGGUGAGUGGAACUGCGAGUGUAGAGGUGAAAUUCGUAGAUAUUCGCAAGAACACCAGUGGCGAAGGCGGCUCACUGGCCGGUACUGACGCUGAGGUGCGAAAGCGUGGGGAGCAAACAGG